GACGAACGCUGGCGGCGUGCCUAAUAAAUGAAAGUAGAAAGCAGUUGCGAACGGGUGAGUAACGCGUAAGUAACUGACUAAUAGAGGGGGGUAACUAUUGGAAACGAUAGCUAAUAGCGCAUACUAGGAGAUGGACAUGCGUUGUAUUAGCUAGUUGGUGAGGUAAAGGCUCACCAGGGCGACGAUACAUAGCCGACCUGAGAGGGGUAUGGGCCACACUGUGACUGAGACACGGCCCAGCCUCCUCCGGGAGGCAGCCGUGGUGAAUCUUCGGCAAUGGACGAAAGUCUGACCGAUCAACGCCGCGUGAGUGAAGAAGUUUUUCGUAUCGUAAACCUCUGUUGUUAGAGAAGCGGUAUCUAACCAGAAAGCCACGGCUAACUACGUGCCAGCAGCCGCUGUAAUAC
rnacentral:rRNA from 1 species